GAGCCGUGGCACUGUCAAGUCAUCAGACGCGGUGAUUGCGAGGCCUGUGGGAAAGUACAAAAGCCUGGGCUAGAUUACCCCUCUCAUCGAGCCCGCCUGUGUGGCACCUGUUUCUUAUCACCCCACUAAGUUCCCGCCUCACAGGGUAGUCUGCCUAGCUAUUAAUCCUAUAUAUAGCCAGUGCCUCCACCCCCGAGAGAGAGAGAGACUGAAGCACAAAAGGAGCCGCGGGGAGCGGACCGGUAGAGGCUUCGGGGGAGACUGAAGCAUGGAAGGAGCCGCGGAGAGCGGACCGGUAGAGGCUUCGGGGCAGACUGAAGCACAAAAGGAGCCGCGGGGAGCGGACCGGUAGAGGCUUCGGGGCAGACUGAAGCACAAAAGGAGCCGCGGGGAGCGGACCGGUAGAGGCUUCGGGGCAGACUGUAUAAGGAGAGAAUAAAGAAAAGCCUGACCACCGCCAGACCUUGUCGUGUGUCUUUCCUGCCGGCCGGGAGCGGACAUCGACAUUUGGAGGCCCGCACGGGGAUUCAUCAACCCCGAGACGCGGCGGUGGACUGCAUUCUCCUACACAGUGCUGCAGCUGCAGGACAGGAAUCGGGACGAGAGCCAAUGUGGGUCCCAGAGAGGUUGACGCGACAAGUCCCUCGACUGAAGAUCAGGCCUGUUCCACCAGAGGCCAACCGCAGACCCAACAACAA